UUCCACUCUACCAACAGCCACG
rnacentral:miRNA from 1 species